rnacentral:lncRNA from 1 species
UUGACUACUUACCACAAAGUCCAUUUGAUAUUGAGUUUACACCUAAGUGAUCGCCAAAGAAAGUACAAGACAAGAAUGGUCCCAAGAAGGCUCAAAAGUUUUUAGAAUGCAUUUGACGGGUCCAUGGUGAAGUAGAAAAGCAAUUACAGAAAGCUCAGUAAAAAUAUAAAGCUAGACAUGAUCGACAUAGAGUAAAAAGUGAAUUCCAAGUGGGAGAUCUAGUAUGGCUACACUUGGGAAAGGAG